AGUAGAAUAAAUAUUCAGGAAAGAAAUAACUUAUGUAAUAACCAAUGAAAUGAAUUGUAAAAUAUAAAUACAUAAUGGCGCAUAUAGAAGUUGACAGACGAAGAUACUUGCACAAAUAAACAGAGGCAUGUACACGCAUAUAUAUACUUGAAGAAAUAACGCUUUGUGAAAGACAUCACAUAGUCAUCAUCUAGAUUGAAGUCAAGAUAGCCGGAAGUAGUUAUAAUGGCAUAUAAAGCGCUGCCUACACCGUAGACCUUUUAGCAAAAUGCGGCAAUCGACAUUAGUGACGGAAAAAUACGUUAUUUAAAAAAGCAUCGAUAUUAGUACGUUUAAUCAAUUUUCAAAGCAAGCAUGUCAAAGACCUACAAUAUAAAUACAGGAAAUGUGGUAUACUUGCCAAUGAGAAGACCAAAUGCAAGGUCUUUUAGAAUUUCUAAUCUUUAUUGCUAUAUUUAAAGUAAUUGAUUCAUGCACUAUACCGUUAUUCAACCAUUGCGUUUGAUAUCCAUUAAAUAAUUAGCAAUCCAUCAAAUCACAUUAAAACAAAACUAAAUUUUCUAUUUAUGUUUCUGCAUUGACGUUCUGUGCAAGUAUUUUCAGGAUAAUACAUCACAAUGGUGUCACUAUAUCCAUUGUUGUUUAUAAUCUAGACUUUGCAUCAUAGCUUCCGACAUGGGAUUGUGGGACUUUGGGAUUCAAUAUACCCGGGAUGUACAAACUGUCACAUUAGAUGGCAUAAUGCUGAUAGUCACACAAUAUAAAGUAGAGGAUAAAAAGACAAACGCAAGGGAAUAAAACGUUGCAGUCUGAAUCUAGUAGCCUAGACUUGGAAGUGAACAACCUUACUAGAGGACAGUUUCAAGUGUAAAUUCAAACAAUGAUGCGUCGUUUAUAAAAGUAAAGAAGAAUAGUUGAUGUUUAAAAAAAGAUGACUAAAAUGUUUCAAACUAUGUGUAUUGAUGCUUCAUUCAAUUUGUGGUUAGUGUAUAUAUAAUGAUUUAAUAUCCCUGUUAUUUAUACUGACAGACGCAAACUUUCAAUAAUGAGCAAGGCAGAGAUAUAAAAUAAAAGAAAUAUUAAUGCA